rnacentral:rRNA from 1 species
ACAGAGGUGGCGAGCGUUGUUCGGAAUUACUGGGCUUAAAGGGCGAGUAGGCGGUGGAACAAGUCUGAGGUGGAAUCUUAGGGCUUAACCCUAAAACUGCCUUAGAAACUGUUUUACUUGAGUCAGUGAGGGGAGGGCGGAAUUCCUGGUGUAGCGGUGAAAUGCGUAGAUAUCAGGAGGAAGGCCUGUGGCGAAGGCGGCCCUCUGGCACUGUACUGACGCUGAGGCGCGAAAGCGUGGGGAGCAAACAGGAUUAGAUACCCUGGUAGUCCACGCCCUAAACGGUGGGCAUUAGGUGUAGGGCUCGUAAGGGUUCUGUGCCGAAGGGAAACCAUUAAAUGCCCCGCCUGGGGAGUACGGCCGCAAGGUUG